rnacentral:misc_RNA from 1 species
AAUACCUGAUUCUGUUAAGUUGAUUUAAUUGAAAACUUGUUUGUUUGUGUUUUUUUCCCCUAUCCAUUUUGUUAACCUUUUAAAAAAGAAAUAAAGAUAUUAUGGGUUUCAUAAAACAAGAUAGAUAAUUACAAAGAGGAUCAUACACUCGAAAACUAACAUAACUUAGUUUCAGGUCUAUUCACAUUGUUUACUUGUGCCAAGCUAAGUUUUUUUUUUUUUUCGGAAUUCUUCAGUUGCAGAUUGGUUUGCAAAUCUCAAGCUAAGCUAAGCUAAGCUAAUCGUCGUAGACGCGACACUCAUCAGUCUCAGGAUUGUCCUGGCAGAAAUACUCGAGAGGAUCCUGUUUCUCCAACUUAAGUCUGAAAUCAGCCUUGGCUUGGCUCACCUCUUCCACCUCAUCCCAUGCCACCUUGCAUUCGUUGGAUGUCUGGUCUACCGCACACACCUCCUUCGCUUCCAUUACUUUCCUCUCUAUCAUCUCCGUCAGCUGCUUCUCUCUCAUCUUCGUCCCUUUGAACUUGGGUGCUCCUCCCAUCGCUUGCACCCUCAGAUUCAUAGCUGCCUUACUUUCAGUCCUCUUCAAGGCAAGUGAAUUAAGGAAUACUUUCCAAGCGCCACAUCGCAACGAAAGAGAUGGAGAAAGGAUAGCUAUUUCUCGUGUUGGAGCACUUAAAGCUGUCACGAAAAGGUGGGAUGGGAAUGCCAUGAUUGCUAUCUUCUUCGAGAUCCUCUUGCGCUCGCUUUUUUUUU